UAGGGCUCUCAAGUCCAGCGCAGAUGUUCCCAGGCGGAGCUCCAGCCUUGCUCCUUCCCACAUAUGGCAUAAUGCAGUGCACGGCGAGGACAGGCUCUAACACCUACUGCCUUUUUCGCUCCUUUGAGCCCUCUUUCAUAACCUGUGUGGAACUAGAAAAGAACAGAGUGGGACGAGAAGAAAGUUUGCCUAUCUUAGAUUAAAGUGCACCUUGGCCUUUCACAGAAAGUGUGAGGCAGCAGGUUCCCCGUGAGCCGCCCCUGCAGGUGCACCACACCUCCUGGGGACCGUCCGCCCGCCCGUCCCGGACUCCGGCAGUGGGGCCCCCGAUGGCAGUGGGCACCUCCCCCUGAAACCU